rnacentral:rRNA from 1 species
AACGGGGAGGAGCCCAGAGCCUGAAUCAGCAUGUGUGUUAGUGGAAGCGUCUGGAAAGGCGCGCGAUACAGGGUGACAGCCCCGUACACAAAAGCGCAUGUGCUGUGAGCUCGAUGAGUAGGGCGGGACACGUGGUAUCCUGUCUGAAUAUGGGGGGACCAUCCUCCAAGGCUAAAUACUCCUGACUGACCGAUAGUGAACCAGUACCGUGAGGGAAAGGCGAAAAGAACCCCGGCGAGGGGAGUGAAAAAGAACCUGAAACCGUGUACGUACAAGCAGUGGGAGCCCCACCACUAAGCCAGUGGUGAACUCCACAUACGCAUCCUUUGCUGAGGAUACGGUUAACGGAGCGCAAGCGACGUUCAACCGCAAAAGAAGCAGAGGGGGCUUAGUGGUGGGGUGACUGCGUACCUUUUGUAUAAUGGGUCAGCGACUUAUAUUCUGUAGCAAGGUUAACCGAAUAGGGGAGCCGGAGGGAAACCGAGUCUUAAUUGGGCGUUAAGUUGCAGGGUAUAGACCCGAAACCCGGUGAUCUAGCCAUGGGCAGGUUGAAGGUUGGGUAACACUAACUGGAGGACCGAACCGACUAAUG